UACGUAGGGGGCGAACGUUGUCCGGAUUUAUUGGGCGUAAAGAGCUCGUAGGCGGCUCAGCAAGUCGGCCGUGAAAACCCGGGGCUCAACCCCGGGACGCCGGUCGAAACUGCUGUGGCUAGGGUCCGGUAGAGGAGAGUGGAAUUCCCGGUGUAGCGGUGAAAUGCGCAGAUAUCGGGAGGAACACCAGUAGCGAAGGCGGCUCUCUGGGCCGGUACCGACGCUGAGGAGCGAAAGCUAGGGGAGCAAA
rnacentral:rRNA from 1 species